rnacentral:rRNA from 1 species
UGCAAGUCGAGGGGCAGCAUGGUCUUAGCUUGCUAAGGCUGAUGGCGACCGGCGCACGGGUGAGUAACACGUAUCCAACCUGCCGUCUACUCUUGGCCAGCCUUCUGAAAGGAAGAUUAAUCCAGGAUGGGAUCAUGAGUUCACAUGUCCGCAUGAUUAAAGGUAUUUUCCGGUAGACGAUGGGGAUGCGUUCCAUUAGAUAGUAGGCGGGGUAACGGCCCACCUAGUCAACGAUGGAUAGGGGUUCUGAGAGGAAGGUCCCCCACAUUGGAACUGAGACACGGUCCAAACUCCUACGGGAGGCAGCAGUGAGGAAUAUUGGUCAAUGGGCGAUGGCCUGAACCAGCCAAGUAGCGUGAAGGAUGACUGCCCUAUGGGUUGUAAACUUCUUUUAUAAAGGAAUAAAGUCGGGUAUGCAUACCCGUUUGCUUGUACUU